rnacentral:rRNA from 1 species
GAUAGCGGCUAGCGAUACAUGCAGUCGAGCGAACAGAAGGGAGCUUGCUCCCGGAUGUUAGCGGCGGACGGGUGAGUAACACGUGGGUAACCUGCCUGUAAGACUGGGAUAACUCCGGGAAACCGGAGCUAAUACCGGAUAGUUCCUUGAACCGCAUGGUUCAAGGAUGAAAGACGGUUUCGGCUGUCACUUACAGAUGGACCCGCGGCGCAUUAGCUAGUUGGUGGGGUAAUGGCUCACCAAGGCGACGAUGCGUAGCCGACCUGAGAGGGUGAUCGGCCACACUGGGACUGAGACACGGCCCAGACUCCUACGGGAGGCAGCAGUAGGGAAUCUUCCGCAAUGGACGAAAGUCUGACGGAGCAACGCCGCGUGAGUGAUGAAGGUUUUCGGAUCGUAAAGCUCUGUUGUUAGGGAAGAACAAGUGCGAGAGUAACUGCUCGCACCUUGACGGUACCUAACCAGAAAGCCACGGCUAAC